CACCGAGAACGGAUGAAAACCAUAAAGAGAGAACUAUAAUAUAAACUAUAAACUGUAAAGAACAGCUUCUCCCGGGUGGUACACAACUGGUACGGCACACGAACGAACCGAGGCGGGCCCGCUACCUUGUGAACGGAAAGACGUUCGCGGUCCGGCACCGAUAGCGUUGCAACUCGUAGUCCGUACAACUCGGCGGCACACCACCACGACGACCGCACCGCCACCACAGCGCAUCGUCUGUUAUAGCGUCUUCGAUAGUUGUUUCGGUGGAGGAGGAACGCGAGACCCGACCGUUUUUUCUCUCUCUCGCUCGCUCUCGACCGUAAUCGCGUUAUUCGUAUCGCGCGCGCCCGACGGACGCGACAACCGCAGACCCGGCACAGGCCACAGAAUACAGAUGCGUUGCAGCAACCCGGACGCGUUCGCCACUGACUUUUGACAACGACCGAUAAUAAUAUUAAUAUUAUACGUUUUGUAUUUUUAUAUAAUCUCGAGACACGUUUGUUUUGUAUUUUAAACGCGUUCAAUUGUUUUUGAUUGUACAGACCGUUUUUUGGUUUUUUUUUUUUUUUUUAAACAUUACUCACAUAUUUGUAUCCGUCGCGCCCGUGGACGACGUACGCGAGUGCGCCGAACCCUCGUAGCCAUGGACAUGGACACCGACCGCUCGGACCCGUUCAUGAAAUACCUGGCCGUCGAUCGCAAUCAGCUCAACGAUCAACCCACACAGGCGGAAUGGACUCAAAAACGUCUGGUGUGGGUGCCCCACGAGAGCCAGGGCUUCGUUUCGGCCGGUAUCAAAGGCGAACGAGGCGAUGAGGUCGAGGUGGAAAUCGCCGAGACCGGAAAGCGUGUGCUCGUCGACAAGGAUGUCAUACAAAAGAUGAACCCUCCGAAGUUCGACAAGAGUGAAGACAUGGCCGAGUUAACGUGCUUGAACGAGGCCUGUGUACUUCACAAUAUCAAGGAUAGAUACUAUUCAGGACUGAUAUAUACAUAUUCUGGUCUCUUUUGUGUAGUGGUUAAUCCAUACAAGAGAUUACCUAUCUACACAGAAAAUAUAAUGGAACGUUACAAAGGUAACAAACGUCAUGAAGUACCACCACACGUAUUCGCAGUAACUGAUACUGCCUACAGAUCAAUGUUACAAGAUCGAGAAGAUCAAUCUAUACUGUGUACUGGAGAAUCAGGUGCUGGAAAAACCGAGAACACGAAAAAAGUUAUUCAAUACCUGGCUUACGUGGCUGCAUCAAAACCCAAAGGAGUGAUUCAACACGCUUCACCUGGUCCAGCUUUAGUUGUUUGUAAUACUAAUGUUAGUUAUGAGGGUGAAUUAGAACAACAGUUGUUGCAAGCUAAUCCCAUUUUAGAAGCAUUUGGUAAUGCGAAAACUGUGAAAAAUGACAAUUCUUCUAGAUUUGGUAAAUUUAUCCGUAUUAAUUUUGAUGCUUCUGGUUUCAUUGCUGGUGCUAACAUUGAAACUUACUUAUUGGAAAAAUCGAGAGCUAUACGACAAGCAAAAGAUGAACGCACAUUCCAUAUUUUCUACCAACUGCUAUGCGGAGCAACUGCUGAACAAAAAACCGAAUUUAUACUUGAGGACCCUAAAACUUAUAGUUUCCUUACAAAUGGUAAUCUCCGUGUACCUGGUGUGGAUGAUGCUGCUGAAUUUAGAGAAACAGUUAAUGCUAUGAAUAUCAUGGGAAUGACAACAGAAGAUUAUUCUGCAAUUUUCCGAAUUGUGAGUGCUGUUAUGUUGUUUGGAAACAUGCAGUUUAAACAAGAGCGCAAUAGUGAUCAAGCAACUUUACCUGAUAAUACAGUAGCCCAAAAAGUAGCUCAUCUAUUGGGUUUAUCUAUAACCGAAAUGACUAAAGCUUUCCUAAGACCUCGUAUCAAAGUAGGCAGAGAUUAUGUAUCCAAAGCCCAGACCAAAGAACAAGUAGAAUUUGCUGUAGAAGCUAUUUCUAAAGCAUGUUAUGAACGUAUGUUCCGUUGGCUUGUUAACCGUAUUAAUCGAUCUUUAGAUAGAUCUAAAAGACAAGGAGCAUCAUUCAUUGGAAUUUUGGAUAUGGCUGGAUUUGAAAUAUUUGAAUUGAACUCAUUUGAACAGCUGUGCAUAAAUUAUACAAAUGAAAAACUGCAACAGUUAUUCAAUCAUACCAUGUUUAUUUUAGAACAAGAAGAAUAUCAAAGAGAAGGUAUUGAAUGGAAAUUUAUUGAUUUUGGAUUGGAUUUGCAACCCACUAUUGAUUUAAUUGAUAAACCUAUGGGUGUUAUGGCCUUAUUGGAUGAAGAAUGUUGGUUCCCAAAAGCUACUGAUAAAUCAUUUGUAGAAAAACUGAUGUCUGCCCAAAGUGUUCAUCCCAAAUUCCAUAAAACAGACUUUAGAGGUGUUGCUGAUUUCUCAAUAAUCCACUAUGCUGGAAAAGUUGAUUACUCUGCACAUAAGUGGCUUAUGAAGAACAUGGAUCCAUUGAAUGAAAAUAUUGUUCAACUUCUACAAGCUUCUCAAGAUCCUUUUGUAACUCAUAUCUGGAAAGAUGCGGAAAUUGUAGGUAUUGCUCAUCAAGCUCUCACUGAUACACAGUUUGGAGCACGGACAAGAAAAGGAAUGUUCCGUACAGUGUCGCAAUUAUAUAAAGAACAAUUAAAUAAAUUGAUGAUCACUUUAAGAAAUACUAAUCCUAAUUUUGUAAGAUGUAUUAUCCCAAAUCACGAGAAAAGAGCUGGUAAAAUCGAUGCUCAACUUGUACUUGAUCAACUGCGAUGCAAUGGAGUUUUAGAAGGAAUUAGAAUUUGUAGACAGGGUUUCCCCAAUCGUAUUCCAUUCCAGGAGUUCAGACAACGAUAUGAACUUCUUACAUCAAAUGCUAUACCCAAAGGUUUUAUGGAUGGCAAAAAGGCUUGUGAAAAAAUGAUUAAAGCUCUUGAACUUGAUACAAAUCUCUAUCGUGUUGGUCAGUCCAAAAUAUUCUUCAGAGCAGGUGUUCUUGCUCAUUUAGAAGAAGAACGAGACUUCAAAAUUUCUGACCUCAUUGUCAACUUCCAAGCUUUCUGUAGAGGGUACUUAGCAAGAAGAAAUUAUCAAAAACGUUUACAACAAUUGAAUGCCAUUCGUAUUAUUCAACGCAAUUGUUCAGCAUAUUUAAAACUGAGGAAUUGGCAGUGGUGGAGAUUAUAUACUAAAGUUAAACCUCUGUUAGAAGUUACCAAACAGGAAGAAGUAUUAUCCAUUAAAGAAGAAGAAUUGAAAGUAGUUAAGGAAAAAUUAGAUUCUCAACAGCGUGGUGUUCUUGAACUCGAGAAGAAAUAUCAAACAGCAGUGGAUGAGAAAAAUGCCUUGGCUGAACAACUACAAGCAGAAGUUGAAUUAUGUGCUGAAGCUGAAGAAAUGAGAGCUCGACUUGCUGCUAGGAAAUUAGAACUAGAAGAAAUAUUGCAUGAUUUAGAAGCUAGAAUUGAAGAAGAAGAAGAAAGAUCUAGUACAUUAGCUCAAGAGAAAAAGAAGUUACAAAUUAAUAUAAAUGAUUUGGAAGAACAAUUAGAAGAAGAAGAGGGGGCACGGCAAAAACUUCAAUUAGAACGUGUUCAGAUGGAUGCCAAACUUAAAAAGUUGGAAGAAGAUCUCGCACUCGCUGAAGACACUAAUGUGAAACAAGUCAAAGAAAAAAAGGUUUUAGAAGAAAGAGCUGCAGAUUUGGCACAAACAUUAGCUGAAGAAGAAGAAAAGGCUAAACAUCUAGCUAAAUUAAAAGCAAAACAUGAAUCAUCCAUUGCAGAAUUAGAAGAACGCCUAUUAAAAGAUAAUCAACAAAGACAAGAAAUGGACCGUACUAAGCGUAAAGUUGAGACUGAGGUAAAUGAUUUAAAAGAACAGUUAAACGAAAAGAAAGCUCAAGUAGAAGACUUACAAUUACAACUUGGUAAACGAGAAGAAGAAUUGACCCAAGCAUUUAUGAGAAUUGACGAAGAAGCUGCAAGUAAAGCGCAAUCUCAAAAAGCGCUCAGGGAAUUGGAAUCUCAACUUGGGGAACUUCAAGAAGAUCUUGAAGCUGAACGUACUGCCAGAAGUAAAGCAGAAAAACAAAAGCGUGACCUUAAUGAAGAACUUGAAGCUUUAAAACAUGAGCUUUUGGAUUCUUUAGACAUAACUGCAGCACAACAUGAACUUAGAGCUAAACGAGAACAGGAAUUGGCAACCCUAAAGAAAUCAUUAGAAGAAGAUACACAAUCGCACGAAAUUAUUAUUACCGAAAUGCGACACAAACACAGUCAAGAAAUAUCCGUUAUAAAUGAACAGAUAGAAUCCUUGAAAAAAUCUAAAAGUCAAUUGGAAAAAUCUAAACAAACUCUUGAAGCCGAAAAUGCUGAUCUUGCUGCUGAACUCAAAUCUUCCGCAUCUUCAAAAUCUGAAUUAGAAAGGAAACGUAAAAUUACUGAAGCUCAACUUAGUGAGAUACAAAGUAAAUUUGCAGAAUCAGAACGUUCGAAAAAUGAAUUAAUUGAUAGACUUUCUAAACUUAGCAAUGAAUCUGAAUCCAUUGUUAAUCAAUUAGAAGCAGCUGAACUCAAAGCUUCUGCUGCAGAAAAAUCUGCUGGAACAAUGGAAACUCAGUUGCAAGAAACACAAGCACUACUAGAAGAAGAAACUAAGUUAAAACUGUCAUUGAACUCAAAACUAAAACAAAUUGAAAGUGAAAAAGAAAUUUUACAAGAACAAUUGGAAGAAGAAGAAGAGUCCAAGAAAAACAUGGAAAAACAAAUAGUUGCUCUUAAUUUACAAAUAACUGAAACACGCAAAAAAAUGGAAGAUGAUGCUGAAUCAACCGCUGCAAUGGAAGCUUCUUAUAAAAAAAUCUUUAAGGACGUGGAAUUGUUACAACGACAAAUUGAAGAAUUACAAGCAACAAAUGAUAAAUUGGAAAAAUCUAAGAAGAAACUUCAAUCCGAAUUAGAUGAUAUCAAUAUUGAUUUAGAAGCCCAACGAUCUAAGGUCAUUGAACUUGAAAAGAAACAAAGAAUAUUUGACAAAACUCUUGCUGAAGAAAAGGCGGUUUCCGAGCAAAUGGCUAUUGAACGUGACACUGCUGAACGAGAAGCUCGAGAAAAGGAAACACGUGUGCUUUCUUUAACCAGAGAACUUGAUGAACUGAUGGUUAAAGUUGAAGAGUUGGAAAGAGGAAAGAGAACACUUCAAAAUGAGUUAGAUGAAUUGAUAAAUAAUCAAGGAACAGCUGACAAAAAUGUUCAUGAAUUGGAAAAGGCAAAACGAAUAUUAGAAUCACAAUUGGCUGAGAUUCGUGUUCAGAAUGAAGAUUUGGAAGAUGAACUUCAAAUAACCGAAGAUGCUAAAUUAAGACUUGAAGUGAACAUGCAAGCAUUGAGGGCUCAGUUUGAACGUGAUCUUGUUGCCAAAGAAGAACAAAGUGAAGAAAAACGUAGAGGACUUUUAAAACAAAUCCGUGAUAUUGAAGCUGAACUUGAAGACGAACGCAAACAAAGAUCGACUGCAAUGGCUGGUCGCAAAAAAAUUGAAGCUGAUUAUAAAGAUCUUGAACAACAGUUAGACAUGCACAACAAAUUAAAAGAAGAUGCUUUAAAACAACUUAAAAAAUUACAAGUUCAAUUGAAGGAUGCUACUCGUGAUGCUGAAGAGGCUAGAGCUUCUCGUGAUGAGCUUUCGGCAACGGCAAAAGAAACUGAACGUAAAUUGAAAUCUGUUGAAGCUGAAUUGCUGUUAUUGACAGAAGAAUUAUCUGCAUCUGAAAGAGCUAGACGUGUCGCAGAAAGUGAACGUGAUGAUCUACACGAAGAAAUGAAUAGCAAUUCUAACAAGGGCAGUACACUAAUGGUCGAUGAAAAGCGUCGUCUUGAAGCAAGAAUAUCUACAUUAGAAGAAGAACUAGAAGAAGAACAGACAAUGUCCGAAGCGUUGAACGAACGAAUUAGAAAAGCUCUAAUUCAAAUUGAACAGUUGAAUUCAGAUUUGGCAAAUGAACGAGCAACAACACAAAAAUUGGAGACAAAUAAAAUGUUAUUUGAUAGACAAAACAAAGAAUUAAAGGCCAAAUUAGCAGAAAUUGAAACCAAUCAACGAGUAAAAACUAAAACUGCCAUUGCCAACUUGGAAUCUAAGAUUGCCAAUCUUGACGAGCAACUGGAAACUGAAGCCAAGGAAAGACAAUUACAACAAAAAGCUAAUCGUAAAUUAGAGAAAAAAAUGAAAGAAGUUGUAAUGCAAUUAGAAGAUGAAAGAAGAACAAUUGAACAGUACAAGGAACAAGUAGAAAAGAGCAAUGCUAGAGUUAAAACACUGAAGAGGCAAAUUGAGGAAGCAGAAGAAGAAAUCAGCAGAGAAAAGCACCAGAAACGAAAAAUUCAACGCGAUCUCGAUGAACUUUUGGAAUCCAAUGAAUCAAUAUCCAGGGAGAAUAAUAAUUUGAGAAGCAAACUCAGACGAACUGGAGUGACCACGACUUCUAGAAUAGGUGCUACUGGUAGUAAACGAGGCUCAACAAUUGAUGAUUUAUCAACAGUACAUGGUAGUUCUCUUGAUGAUUCACUGGAGUCAAACAAUGGAUCAAAUGAUACAAAUUCUCUUGUGGACGGCGUGAAUUAAUAUUACAAUAUUUAGGUGCCGAAGACAUGUGGUCUCGUUAAAUUUUCAAGAUUAUUACUUUUCAAUCAAAAAAUAAAUAAAUAAUGGUCCGUGAAAACACAAGGCUCAAAAAAGAAACCGAAUUUUUUUAAAUUAUAGUUUUAACCAGAAACAAAAUUUCCUCCUCCCUUGAUAUUACCCUCAAUUAUUGUACUGUACUUAUAUUUACUGUAUACUUAAAAAAAUUUGAUUUGUUGCCAAAUAAAAAUGAUCAUCUCUGACAUUUUACAUUUUAUUCUGAAAUGCAUUAAGUAUUACAACACCCAUUGUUUUUCUGAGAACGGAAAACUGUUAUUAUUUAUUAUUUAUUUAUAAUGAUUCUAUGUUUUUUUCUUUUUAAAUUUUUUGUGUUUGUAUAAAAUAAUUUCUUUUCUAACAACAAUAAUUAUUUAUAUAUAUUAAUCAUUAACAAUAUAAUAAUAAAAACAUUAAUGCCAUUUACAUUUUUAUAUUUAUAUUCAAAUUACAUAUUAUUACUCGUCAGUAAUAUAAUAUGCUACACAUUCCUUAUUAUUAUUAUUAUUAUUAUUAUUUUAUUUUAUUAUUAUUUUUUUUUUGUAUUUGUUACAUUUUAUACAGAAUCUUGGACAUGUAGAUAAAAUUAAAAACGAAUUAUUAUUUUUGUAUUUUACCUAUAUAUUGAUGAUAAUUUGUAUUUUCAAGGUUGUUUUGUGAAAAUCGCGUACUGAUGAAAAAAAAUAUCAUAUAUUUAUACAUGAAAUACAUAUUAUACACAAAUUAUUCUUUUUUAUACUAUACGAUAAUAAUAAUUUUAUUUAUUAUAUUAUGAAAAAUGCAUUUACCAUAAUUAUUUUUAUGCUUAAAUAUUAUUUUAUAAUUAAGGAAUAAUUUGAUUAAUCAUUAAACAAUAAUAAAAAAAAAAAUAAUAUUAAA